AGGAUAAGGACAUGGCUUCAGAU
rnacentral:piRNA from 1 species